rnacentral:rRNA from 1 species
UGAACUUGCAAAAGGAUCAUUG